rnacentral:misc_RNA from 1 species
GAGAUAGUGCCCUGAAGUUGCUCCCCAACAUUAUUAAUUGGGGUGGUUGAAGAGGAGCUCUGAGACAGUUGUGUCUCAGUCACACUUAUACAAUCACUUAAUGCUUGCCACAAUGGCUCUAAUGCCACAUUCAGCCUCCACAUGAUGGCUUGCUCCUCUAAUUCACUAUCAUAUUCUGAACUUUUAGUCUCCCUCGCACAAGGGGAAGUAAGUGAACUAAGAGCCUGCAGAACACGAACAAUUGCUGCCCCAGCCAUUGAACUGGCACUUAAACCUAACAUGUUCGUAUUCUUCAAAGUAACAAGCUCGCUGAUAGCAGAGCUGCUCAACCCAUUAGCUAA